rnacentral:tRNA from 467 species
GGGCCUAUAGCUCAGUCGGUUAGAGCAGAGGACUCAUAAUCCUUUGGUCCACGGUUCGAGUCCGUGUGGGCCCACCA